rnacentral:rRNA from 1 species
AACGAACGCUGGCGGCGUGGAUAAGACAUGCAAGUCGAACGCUGAUUUGAGAGUAGCAAUAUUUUCAAGUCGGAGUGGCGCAAGGGUGCGUAACACGUGGGCAAUCUGCCGUGAAGUUGGGGAUAACUUGCUGAAAGGCAAGCUAAUACCGAAUGUGAAAAUUGGUUGGCAUCAGCUGAUUUUCAAAGUUGGGGACCGUAAGGCCUGACGCUUCGCGAUGAGCCCGCGGCCUAUCAGCUAGUUGGUGAGGUAAAGGCUCACCAAGGCUAAGACGGGUAGCUGGUCUGAGAGGACGACCAGCCUCACUGGAACUGAGACACGGUCCAGACACCUACGGGUGGCAGCAGUCGAGAAUUUUUCUCAAUGGGCGAAAGCCUGAAGGAGCGACGCCGCGUGGGGGAUGAAUGGCUUCGGCCCGUAAACCCCUGUCAUUUGUGACCAAACCUUCCGGUUAAACAGAUCGGAAGCUGAUGGUAGCGGAAGAGGAAGGGACGGCUAACUCUGUGCCAGCAGCCGCGGUAAUACAGAGGUCCCGAGCGUUGUUCGGAUUCACUGGGCGUAAAGGGUGCGUAGGUGGUCGGGUAAGUUUGAUGUGAAACCUCCGGGCUCAACCCGGAAACUGCAUUGAAUACUA